CAGACAACGAGACGAGUGUAAGUGAUACAGCGAUGGACCUCUUUAAAUUGUAUUACUGUUGUAAAGUAAUGAUUAUGUGUAUUGUGAAUAUGAGCUUUCAACGCGUGGUUACCGCUUGCAACGUGUCCCUCACAACAAAUAACACUCUGGUAGAGAUGGGAUCCCGAGUAUCUUUGAUAUGCCGUGUUUGCAAUGAAGACAAGACAGUAAAGUUCACCUUAAACAAUCAAAACAUAGCAUUCUAGUCGACGCUCUCGGGAAUAAGCGUUGUCAAUAAUUUUGUGUUCAUGUUAUAUAAAACUUCAGAAAGCGGCGAAAUGAAACUGGUGCUGUCAGUUUUCAAUUUUACUAUCAACGAGGCUGGCAAGUACGAAUGCAUUGUUCUGAAUACUGGAAACAAAUCUUCUGUCAAUAUAUCAAAAAUAGAUCCAGUUAAGACUGUAUCAAUGUCACCUAGAAUCGGGACUGUGUCAUUGUUAGAAAAUGUGAAAACCGGUUUAUUUUAUUGCUCAUCCUAUGGAAGACCUACUCCGAAAAUACGCUGGUACCUUGAUGACCUCACUGUUAAUUUUACUGAUGACAUAGAAAUGACAUAUUACGCAACCGUCACAACUUCUGGUGACAUUGCCAUCAGCCAAUUGGUAUUUACUCCAAUCGAAGAGUAUCAUGGAAUGAAAUUAUAUUGUAACGCAACAAAUAAGUUCAGAUAUAAAGCCUCAACUGGACAUUUUGCGAUACCCCACUAUCCCUGUCACGUUCCUAAAUGGAAGCCAAGUUAAUACUAGUGUUUCAAUAAUAUUAAAUCAAUCUGUGGUACUAGAAUGUAGAAGCAACGGAAAUCCUAAACUUGCAGUUACUUGGAUGACACCAGAAUUUACAUAUUAUAACAAACCUAAUUUGACAAUAUAUGAAAUCCAAACAAACCAGAGCGGUGUGUUUAAGUGCAUCUCACAGAGUGUACUAUCACCUACUGAAGGACUGACUAUUGAGCCGGCAACGACGACGAAUAUAUCAGUGUGUGUUUUAUAUCCUGCAAGUGUUCCUGUGUGCAACAUUGGGAACCAUACAGUUCAAUCGAAUGAAAUACGAGCAAUUGAAAACGAAUCCGUCACGAUAAGAUGCAUAAGCAAAAGCAAUCCCUCACCAACGGCAUACAUAUGGACACUUCCUAAUGGGGAGAAUGUCCUCGAUCAGACGUUCUUAACAUCACAUAUUAGUCCAUUCGGAAAUAACGUCUACUACAUUCGAGUUGAGAACAUAAUGAAUGCAUCGUUUCAACUGUCAGUAAUAGGAUCCAUUGAACGGUCAUUUAAGUUAGAUAUUCUCAGUUUCCCAAGUAUACCGGUUAUUAAGUUCGAUGAACAACACGUCCCUGACACAGUUGCUAUGAUUGAAAACGAAACGAUUGCUCUGACUUGUAAAAGCUAUGGAAAUCCUCUACCGAUAGUGUCAUGGAUAACUCCUAAGUCAGAUAUGGAGAACAUGUCUGUCAUGGAUAAUUCCUAAGUCAGAUAUGGCGAACAUGUCUGUCAUGGAUAACUCCUAAGUCAGAUAUGGAGAAUAUGUCUGUCAUGGCAAUACAAGCCGUACAUACAAACGACACUGGCCUGUAUGUAUGUAAAGCUCAAAGUAAGCGUUCACCUACAAAUGGGCAUGAAAGAGAAUCUAUUACAACGAAAAAUGUAUCGCUUGAUAUUUUAUACCCACCGAAGCCACCAGUUCUACAUUUUUCUACAUGCAGUCAAUCUUUUUCAACGCAGUCUUUGAAAGUUAUCAAAGGACAGCUCAUCAAUGUGUCCUGUACAACUACCGGAAAUCCAGAUCCUACAUAUUCAUGGCACCCACAAUUAUAUGGAUCGGGCAAUAUCUUAAUACUGGCAAAUAUUAAUGUACAUCAAACUGGAAUAUUUUCGUGUGUCGCUAAUAAUGUAAUGAGCAGAACUUAUGGUGAAAAAGUCAAUGGGGAAACAUUAUCUUCUUUCAAACUUGAUG